UGUUUAACGGCCGCGGUAUUUUGACCGUGCAAAGGUAGCGCAAUCAAUUGUCUUUUAAAUGAAGACCCGUAUGAAUGGCACAACGAGGGCUUAACUGUCUCCUUUUUUCAGUCAAUGAAAUUGAUCUUCCCGUGCAGAAGCGGGAAUAAUAACAUAAGACGAGAAGACCCUAUGGAGCUUAAAACGCAAGAAGAGAUCACACUACUAACACUAAAUUAACAGUUUAAGGCAGCUGAUCCCUCUUCUAGUGUUUUUGGUUGGGGCGACCACGGGGUAGAACAAACCCCCCGCGUAGAAUGAAAAUAUAAAGUUUUCUAAUUAAAGGGUGACAACCCUAAAAACCAGAACCUCUGACUUUUUGAUCCGGCUUAGCCGAUUAACGAACCGAGUUACCCUAGGGAUAACAGCGCAAUCCUCUUUUAGAGUUCAUAUCGACAAGAGGGUUUACGACCUCGAUGUUGGACCAGGACAUCCUAUUGGUGCAGCCGCUAUUAAGGGUUCGUUUGUUCAACGAUUAAAGUCCU
rnacentral:rRNA from 1 species